AAUCAUAUGUUUUCAAUAUAAUUAAGAAAAUAAAUCAUGAACCAAUGGGCCUGGUGUGCGAUAUGGUUGAAGGGGUGUGGUUAACAAUAUACAUGGGGCCUGAGCCCAAGAUGCCAGGAAUCAACCCGGGUCCAUAAUUCUACUACCACCGUCCUCACAACCAUGUCCAAGAAGCAUCGGUCCAACGUAUCGCCGUCUUCCUCAUUCGAUUCAACGCCCUACCUCAAAAACUAACAAAUUCGCUUCCACCACUCCAUCGAAAAAUCAUGAACAACGAGUGAAUCCAUGUAUAAUUUACAUGUCGAAUCGAAAUCGAAACCAGGGUUGAAUCCUCCGUCCUUCCAUGCUCAAGAAUACGCCAGAGAAUUUAGGGAAAACGGCGGUAAUGAAGCUAUCCUGACUGGAAUCUUAUUCCCAUCCCUGAAAUCCGGUCAAAAGCGGAUAACUUUCCUCAUCCGCGACCGAAUGAAUCUCAUCUUGCCGUUGUAAUCAAAGUCCCAAACCGGAAUGUUAUGCGAGUAGCAAAGAAGAAUGACGACUUACCGUACACCGCGUUGUCGUUGAAGGUGAACAUGACUUCUCUGGAUUCGCGUUGUGCUUCGGCUUUUUCGGUACGUUCAACUCGGUUCUACGCUCUUUCCAAUCUUCUUCAUCUGUUUCUCGAUUCUGUUGUGUCGUUUUUGUUUAUUUGGGGAGUUGAUUCAUAGGUGAUUCUCAUCUCCGUUAUGAACAGUUCUUGAGAGGUUCUCAGUUGGUUCUUUGAAGUGUGGUUAGAAUUGAAAAGAAUUCACGCUUCGAGGGGUUUCAGUUGAAGUUGCGGUUGACGUUUGAAGGAGGGUUCGAUCGGUGUUGCAGGUUGAAGGAAGGUUGAGGGUGGUUGGUUACGAGUUGUUGAGGAAGUGGGAGGAUGAUGAAGGGUUGUCCAUGUGAUUCUUCUAUGAGUUUUGGGAAGGAUACAAAUGGGAGAAUUUUUCAGAAGAGGGAGAGUGAAGAGGGUGUAUGAUUGGUGAAUUGUUGAAUUAUGGGAAAGAUGAUGGAGAGCUUGAAUUGAAGAUGGAGGAUGGUUCUUAUAGGAGAGUAAGGUUAGAGAGAUGGUUGGUUAUGACAGUUGGAAAUAGUUAGAGUUUGUUGAAUCCUGUUAGAGUUUAGGUUGGUUGAAGACAGUUAGAGGAUGAGGAAAAUAGGUUCUGAAGGUGUUUGAAAUUGGAUUUCUAUCCUGUGCAGUUAGUUAUUCUGUUAUGAGGCGGUUAUGGGAGGUUGUGAAAGUUAUGUGAUUGAAGGAAGUGAACAAAGGUUAGUUCUUCCAUAUCAGUAUUUUUUUGGAAGACAAUUUGUUGCAAGUCCUUGAAAUUGGUUUUGUAAAGGGGUUCUGCUGCGGUAAAGUCAUGGCUUGUGAGUUUUGGAUGUAGCAGCUUGUGUAGCGUCUUGAAGCUACAACUCUGUUUCGGUUUGUAGCUUUGGCAGCUUUCAAUUCAUUUUUCUGUUUCUGUUUUGGCGCUCUUGGUACAUAGCAGCUGGUGUGGCUUUGUACUUGGUGGCUUUGUGAAGCUUAUUGGUUUGGCUUUGUGUGAUAUGCCCUUUGUCAAAUUCUGGCUUCAGGAAUCAUGAUUUGCUUUAACUUAGCAACUUCCAUUUUCUUCCUUUUUGUGCUGUUACUGCUCUGUCAUGGACUGAUUUUGUGAAUGCCGAUUGUAGGCCCAAAAUGACCUAAUGGAAGCACAUGCCACAAAGUGAGUUCGUCCAAGCAUAUAGAUUGUGGAAGCAUCAUGGAAAGGUCUACCAAACUCCCAGAUUUUUCUUUUUCCUUUCGACACAAGCUAUGUAACAUGUGAAUCAUGUAGCAUGUAAUGAUGUAAUAGUCAUCUAGAGAUGGAUUAGUUUAUGUAGAAUGAUUUUAUGUGUGUAAAAUGAGAAUGUUUCAUGGCGUGAUUCACUUAUGGUCGUGCUUAUGUAAUGAAGAACAAAGUUUAAGUCUAACUCUCACUUGUCUUACCAUGUAUGGAUGGUUUGUUAUGAGAUGUAUCAUAGGAUAAAUGCAUUUGGAAAUGGUCAUGAAUGUAAUGGGAAGUUACCAUUGUAACUUGGUUGAACAUGAA